rnacentral:tRNA from 2 species
GCCUCUUUAGCUCAGUGGUAGAGCAGCUCACUCGUAAUGAGCAGGUCGAGGGUUCAACUCCCUUGAGAGGCUCCA